AGCAUUUUAAAAUGGUGAGUAGAUCCAACUUCUUCUUUCAAGGAAAGUAGUCUUGCAUCACAUAAUGAUAUUUCCCUCAACAGUGGACUGCAUGUACAGUGGUGUUCCCAGAAGGUUAUAAAAGAGCUGCCCUAUACAGGGGUAUGAUUUUUUAAAUCUUUGAUACCAUAUUUUUACUGUAACUUUUCUAUGUUUAAAUAUACACAAAUAUUAUUGUGUUACAGUUUCCUGCAGUAUUCAGUACAAUAACAUGUUGUACAGGUUUGUAGCCUAGAAGCAAUAGGCUAUACCAUAUAACCUAGGUGUGUGGCAGACUAUACCAUUUAGGUUUGUGUAAGUAUAAUGUAUGAUGUUUACACAAUGACAAAAUCACCUCAUGACACACUUCUCAGAAUGUAUCCUCAUCAUUAGUCAAUGCAUGACUGUACAAGGAUGUGAACAAGUGAAAGAAGUCAAAAUAUACUGUUCUGAUACAUUGAUUUUUUUGAGCUGAAGGCCAUUGAAGAAAAAGCUGCAGGAAGAGCUCUUUGACUACCCUUUUUCUCUAAAAGCAGAGCAUAAAUUUUGCAUGAGAAAGUUGCUCUCUCUGUACCAGGAAGAAGAGAACAUUCUUACCACUGGAGAGAGGGAAUGAAAGCUGAGAUGAAUUUGUACAAACCUUCUAAGAUAAUCUUCCACUAGUCCUCUUCUGUGUUUCCUAGUAACUUUUUCAUAGCCCAAACUCAUUUCAUUCCCAUCUCCAGCCCAAACUCCUUUUUAUUCUAUCUUGUCACAUCUCCACAAAGAUUUUAUCAUUCUUUGCUAAAAUGGUGUAUCAGCUCUCAGGCCUAUACAUGUUUUGGGAUCUUCAUUUCUUGUAUAUGAACCCUCUGUGUAUAUGUAAAAAUAUUAACAUCAAAUACAAUCUGUAAGCCUUUCCCCUGUUAAUCUGUAUUUUGUCCAUUUAAUUUUCAGGUCCAAGCACAGAUCCUAAUGGGAUAAAGGAAAAGUCUUUUCUCCCCUACACAACUUCUUUUGUUUUUCUCCACUGCCAAUCCCAGCCUGCAUUUGAUUCCCAAGAGCUGUCACAGAGAGAUUCCUCAUGCUCAACCAAUCAUGGAAGAUUUCUUAAAAACCCCAGAGAAGAAAGAGAUUGGUACAUCAACCUAAUCUAUGUAGGUGAAAACCCCUCCUCCAGUUCUACUGAUACCAGCUGUAAAAA
rnacentral:lncRNA from 1 species